rnacentral:rRNA from 1 species
GAGUUUGAUCCUGGCUCAGGACGAACGCUGGCGGCGCGCUUAACACAUGCAAGUCGAGCGAGAACCAGGCCUUCGGGCCUGGGGAAAGCGGCGAACGGGUGAGUAACACGUGGGUAAUCUGCCCUCGGCAUCGGGAUAGCCCGGGGAAACCCGGAUUAAUACCGGAUAGCCUCCGAAGCCUUCGGGCGUCGGAGAAAAGGUGGCUUCGGCUUCCGGCUGAGGAUGAGCCCGCGGCGGAUUAGCUUGUUGGUGGGGUAACGGCUCACCAAGGCGACGAUCCGUAGCUGGUCUGAGAGGACGAUCAGCCACACUGGGACUGAGACACGGCCCAGACUCCUACGGGAGGCAGCAGUGGGGAAUCUUGCGCAAUGGGCGAAAGCCUGACGCAGCGACGCCGCGUGCGGGAAGAAGGCCUUCGGGUUGUAAACCGCUUUCAGGGGGGACGAAGCCACNCGGGUUAAUAGCCCAGAGGNNNNACGGUACCUCCAGAAGAAGCCCCGGC